CAAAACGGGAGGGAGUAAUGCAUCCUAGCAAGUAUGAGCUCCUUCCCCUCUACUACGGAAAUUAGUCGUUUCCCUCUCCCGCCAAGAGAGGACGGGACUCUGAACCUUUUAUUAAGAAGAGCAGGCGCUUCGAUUCUUCCGUAUGUGCUGUAGCAGGGUGACCCGCCAUGCCAAUAGCGCUCCCCUGGAGGACAUUCUGCUGGCCCGCCUCGGGGACAGCCUGCCCCAUGCUUCCACUCGAGCCCGGCUUAGGGACUUUUCCCCUUCGCCGCCACCCGGAUGGAGAUGGCGCUGGAGGCGGGCUCGUUCGGUAUGUUGCCGGGAUCAGCGACGGAAGCCAAAACAAGAGGAGCCGACCAACCCGAUACACUGACGUUGGAGGGUCUCCGCUCUCCGCGCAUCUUUCGUACCAGAGCUUAUUAGUUCAGUCCCGGAACCGUUUCCCAGUUUCUAAUUGCGGCUGCACAUAUACCAGAAAAUAAACCCAUUGACCUCAAUGGGCCUUAUCUCCGAGUGAGCAAGCUGUUCGUCAGCAAUCCUAAACCUAUUUAAUUCGGAGGAAGCUUCAUUAAACCCAGUGGGACUUAACGACCGAAUAUUUCUCUCCACCCUGAUGUUAUAUUCAACUAUUGCUGAACAGCUUGUUCCAGUGCAAAACUAGACCAGUUAAUUCACACUGCAAAUUUUGAAUCCUGGUUCUUUCAUUAAUUGUAAACAACAGUUUGCUUAAUACUCCUAGCACUGAUGUCUGAAGCCCACAAUUUCUUAUGCCAGGAAGGCAAUCUUCAUUUUCUUGCCGCCAAAAUUCGAAGGAGGGCGGGAGGCUGGCGGAGCGGCCUUAAAUGGCCUUCAGCAGCCCCGCCUCCUAUGGCGUGUCACGCAGGCGCGCCGGCGCACCGUGUGCACACACACAUCCCCCACGAUGGCGGCCUAGGCUUCGGCUGCGGCUGCAAACUCGCCCCUUAGCCCGGCAGGUACCGGGCGCGGAACGGGAUUGCGGCCUAUUGCCGAAAUAAAACACAAACACCAUUAAUUGGGUUAAAUCAUGGGCCACUUUAUUAAACGGAAUCAAUUAGAAUAAUGAACCUGCAGAGGGGAAAUCAAGUGCGGGAGUAUUCUGAUGAUCCAAGCAAAGCCUGCUUGCAGCCAUAGGGCAACCAAACCCUUGCCUGAGCCCGGGGCUGCCCUGUGCCAGACCCCAGCUCAGGCCACACCCUGAAGAUGUGUAGGGGGGUCCAACACGCAUCACCACCCCCCGGAGCCCUGAAACUCCGAGCGGAUGAGGCACGUUGGCCCCAAAGGCGACCUGUGUUCUGUCCCCGGGCCGUAUAGCCCUGAGCUGCAGGCCCCCAGACUGCCAAUCACCCCCAAAGGUGCCUAAAGGUGUCACCUAGCUGCCCUUUCCCUUUAAACCUUUUCCCGCACUUCUUUGCCACAAAAGGGGGACAAGCCUCUGCUUAGUCUCCCUUUACCCCACACCCGAUAAGAAUCUUGUGCAGACCCCUCUGCAGGUCCGUCAAGAAGAUGCCAUCAUUGCCUCACAACUGCAUGUCCUCACAUGCCUGCCACUGAGGGCCUUGCCCUCCAGCAGAUGACCAGAGGCUAUCGUAGCCUCAACUGCAUGUCCUCACAUGCCUGCCACUGAGGGCCUUGCCCUCCAUGUCUGCCCAUGGCAGACGACCAGAGGUUAUCAUCGCCUCAACUGCAUGUCCUCACAUGCCUGCCACUGAGGGCCUUGCCCUCCAGCAGAUGACCAGAGGCUAUCGUAGCCUCAACUGCAUGUCCUCACAUGCCUGCCACUGAGGGCCUUGCCCUCCAUGUCUGCCCAUGGCAGACGACCAGAGGCUAUCAUCGCCUCAACUGCAUGUCCUCACAUGCCUGCCACUGAGGGCCUUGCCCUUGAGUAACCAAGGUCAUUCCCACCCAGGGGAAUGACCACCACCUGCAGGACCUUCCGCACUCAACCCUGCUGGAACAACAUGGGUAGGAGACCAUCCCAGUGCAUACUCUGUCGACCCAGCCACCAAAACGUGGCCCACCAUCAGAGGCCCAGCCGUGAACCAAUGUGCGUUUGCGGCCCCAAGGCCAGCCUGUAAGAUCAUGCCAUAGCUGCAGAGUAGGCUGCGCAUCUGCUCCAUCCCCAUCCAGCAACCUGCCAAAAAACAGAAAGAAUCGUGAACAGUUGGGUCCUGGACCUUCAGACUCGCUCUAGCGGUGAAUGUACUCCAUGUGCUCCAUAAUUCCACCUUCUGACGACCUACAUCUGCAUAUACCAAACCAAAUAGACCACCCCAGGUAGGUAAUUCCCCUGCCGGGUAUGCAGCCCCAUUUCCAUAGGAGCAUGUCCACCAAAACCCCAUGUGUCUGCUCCCAGGCUCUGCAACGCUAGACCGAAACUUUAUGAGGGGAGAUCCCUCCCCCUGAGUAUCAGGCAACCGGGCCUGUAGCUACAGGCCAAGAAACACUGUGACACCCUCACGGGACAAGUGUCCAGUCCUGGGGCAGGAUAAAAUAAUGGUGAGCCUCUUGUGCCCCUGGUCCUCCUGGAAACAAACCUCGGACAGCAGGAUGGCUCGUAGGGAAGUCUGACCUGGACCCAAACACUCCGGCCCUCCAUCCAGAAGGCUCCAAAAUUAAGUGUGAGGGCCGCUGCACGCAACUGCUGGUCACAGGGCACCUCCCUGACCAACAAUCCCUGGCGGGUCAGGUGAACACGGAGGAUGGGGAUAAGGGGUACAGUGUUGUGCAUGGGCCGGCCGGACAGCACAUGACGUAUCCCAAGCCGUCUGGAUGGUCCCAAAGGCCAGCCUACCUUGCAACACACUGACGGACUUUACUCCUACCAUCCAUGAUGAAUUCCUGCACGUGAUUAAUAGGAAUAGGCCACACUUUGCCUAGCCCCUGCCAGCCCCUAACUCCCAGAAAUCACCUCCUGCCCUUUGAUAGCUGGUGAGCAUCCUGGAGCAACAGAUAGGCAUAUGGUCAUAUCUGACUCCCCUCCCCCAUCACCCAGUGUGUGGUAUGGGACUAGCAGUUCUCCCCCCCAGAGUCGGUCUCUCCUCUAACUAAAAACACCAUUGACACACUGCCAGAAAGGGGGGGCCACACCGCAGGUUGGCGCAUAAGGCAGCCAAAAAACAAACCCUGAAGCUGUGGUAAGGCUGUGACAUCCCUGUUCUGGCACCAUAAACCCCACCGUAGAAGGCCCCCAACACCUGAAGCGCAGAAAACCAACACUUUCCCAGACCCUGACAACUCCAGCAUCUUGAUCUGCAACAGUUCAAGCCCUUUUCCCAGGCAGCCUGCAGCCCUGGGUCAAAGAGACAAUCUUAAUACCCUGGAAGGUGAACCCUGGGGCCGGAUCCUCCAUUUUCCCAGCUGCCAAAGGAACCCCCCCGUUCAUAGCCACGCCAUAAACGGUGCCAUCAGGUGCUAACAUGCACCCAGAGUCUGCCCUACCCGUGAACCGUAAAUCAUGAACAUAGUGCCCCACUGCUUCAGAGCCCCCUCGUCUCCUGACUGUCCCUUCCAAGAAGGAGCUGAAGUGCUCCAUACAAGAAUACAGCAGCCCAUAGGUAAUGCUCUGCUGCCUAGUCGACCUAAAAGGCAAAACUCAACAGCCGGCAAUGCAGGCAGAUUAGCUGCCACACUUGCCCCUAAGGCACCUCUGCCACAGGCGCGCACCAUAUGGAAUGCAGUGUAGUGCACUGUGCAUAGUCUAUCUGGUAUGAAGCCAUUACUGACUGACCCCACUUGUAUGAUGGAUGAUGAAUCAGGUAGACUCCGCCCACUGCCACAUUGGGCCCUAUGGGGGGGGCAUUGUGAGAGCAGAGGUAGGGGAUGAUGGGAAGGGGCCAAUAACCCUGCCCAACUGUAUGUCUUUAUCAAUCAUCCCCUGGACCAGUGCGUCUGUACCUAAGAUUGAUUUAAGAUUGCCGGCCAUAAGGGCAAGCCAGGGGCCACAGUAUAGGAUCCAGAAGAACCGCCUAAUAAAGAAAAAACCGCAUCAUAAAUUGAGUCUCCCCAUAAACUGGGCAGUCUGCCAGCAGGGUCCAUAGCACCUCGAGCUUAGCUGGAAAGAGACACUUUCCUUGAGCAGCCUCUGCUAUCCUUCUGGCUUGUUGUGACUUCAAUUGCGGGUUCAUAUUCAGCAGUUAUUAGAUGGCAUGGAGCUGAGCAAUGUCAUCCUCCAAUGUCUGCAGAUCAAACGACUCCCAAAAAGCACAGGACUAGUGGCCUGCAAAAAGGUGGCCAUCUCAUCCACAGCCAGUUUGCAAACUAGCUAAAGAGAAGAUGCAAGCAAAUGUGCAGCCUGUACAUGAUUACUGAAAAUAAUUCCAUUAUGUUUAAAUAAUUUACUCAGAGAAAUAUGACUUGGACCAAUUCUAUGCAUACUUACUUAUGAGAAAAUCCCACCGAGUGUAUUGUUACUUCUUCCCACGGAAGGGUGCACAUGAUUGCACCCAUACAGCAGAAUCCUAAGUAUGUUUACUCAGAAUAUCACAGGUUAAAUGGGUCUCUGGACUGAGGUUUAUAGGACUUAACUAAUGGAAAGGUUUGUAUAUUCUUACCUGGGUUUUGAAGAAUGUAUUUGGGGAGGGAAAGCUUGACAGUGAAAAGAGGGGAUGAGCUCCCUUUGCAUUAGCGGGGUUGAGGUAGUUUUGGAGGUGGGGUUGCAGCACUAACUGGGAUUCCUACUGGCUCCUGCAGCCUCCUUUCUGUCUCCAGCUGCCACCUGCCCUCCCCAAAAAGCCUCUGCUCUUCGUAAUGUCAUUGCAUUGAUCCAAUCCAAAUGGCGUCCAACUGAUGGCCACCAUAUGUUUCUCCCCAAAUGCUCUGGGACGAAACAUCACCCCCAUUAUCUUUUAGAAUAUAUCUCAGAAUAUUGCCACGUUAUAACAGAGCAUCUUUCUAGGGUACAGGCAAAUUUUGCCCCUCUCAUCUUCAAGUUCUCCCUAAUUGACUAACCCCUUCUCCAAAUUUUCCUGGUUUGCAAAGACAGUGUGGAAGUGGAAUGGCCGUUUCAGUACAUCCCUAAUAAAAGCAUCCCCACCCCUGGCUGUCCAGCUGCCUCUGGAAUGUCCCCAGUGUCAGAUAGCCCAGUACCACUCUAGGUAAUUGGUAAAUGAAAAGGAACAUUCGGUUUAAACUAAAAAUACUCUUCAGUAUCAAGAAAAGGAGUCUAUUCCUAUUUCACUUUCUGUAGUGGGCGAGGGGGCCCCCAUAGAAGUAUCUCCUGGCCCUAACUGGAGGUGCUGAGGGCUGAACCUGAGGACCCUCGGCAUGCAAAGCAAGUGAUCUGUUACUGAGCUGCACUCCUUCAUCUCCAGGGUCUGAGACCCCUGCAAAUGGUAGAAUAAUCCUAGCAAUAAAACACAUGAAGUGCAUUGGCUAUGUUUCACUCCUCCACAGCUGGGGGUGGGCGUCUACCCUCCGCCCUGGGGGCCCUGCCCUUCUGGCCCACUUUGCCCUUUUUGGGUGGCAUCCUGAGAUUAAGCGUGUAGCUGGGUCUAUCCCCUUCCGCUAACCCCUCCCCCAGCCUAUGCCCCAUUGCAGAAGCCAGGGGAGUGCCUCCUCCAGAAAGGAAAGGUGGUAAGCGUGAGGAAGCACUAAAGGGAGACCCAGCACCUUCACAGCCCGGCUGGACUGUGCCCUCUUCUCAUCCUGCACCCCCCCAGUCACCAACCCAUUGGCUCCCUUGUCCAGCCCCAGACAAUCCAGGCCUCCUGGGCCACCAAGUGACCAAAUAGGGGGUGUGAUGGAGCUGGUGCCCAGCACCCAAUUCCCCUACUAUGUGGUGGGGUGAGGGGCUGAUGAUCUUUCCCACCCACCCCCACGGGGAUCCCCUUGAGGAACCCUCGAGGAAAGAACACAGCCAAAGGCCGCCUCGCCUGUGCUCUUGAGCCGCCCGUAAUGCCUUGUAUCUGCCACUGUCUCCAGGGCUUGCCACCGCCGGGGAGCUGCUGCUGCUACCGCCGCGCCCCACUGGGCCGAGAGCCACGAGCCUCGAUACCUCCAGAAGGCCUCCCCGGCCAGGAGCCCCGCUGCCUCCCACGGCCAAAAGCUGGCAGCCUCAACCCUGCCGAGCCAGGUGCCUCACUGCCGUUGACACUAGCAGCACCAAACCCCGCCGCCACUGAAGGGCUCGCCGCCUCAACGCCGCCCAAGAAAAAACAAGGGAAGCCACGUGCGCUGAAUGCGCCACGCACGCCCUCAGAAGACCUCGCCGCUGCCGCCGCCGUUAAACCUCCCCGUUGUAAGGCCUCCCUCGGCCAGAGCCUCCCCGUUGCAAGGCUGCUGAGCUGGAUGCUUUGCCCGACGCUGCAAGGCCUCACCGCGCCGCAGGCCUUGCCGCGCCGAAAGCCUCGCCGCCAAAAUUCAAAGGAGGGCGGGAGGCUGGCGGAGCGGCCUUAAAUGGCCUUCAGCAGCCCCGCUUCCUAUUGUGUGUCACGCAGGCGCGCCGGCGUGCUGCGUGCACACACACAUCCCCCACCAUGGCGGCCUAGGCUUCGGCUGCGGCCGCAAACUCGCCCCUUAGCCCGGCAGGUACCGGGCGCGGAACGGGAUUCUUGCAGCUUGUCAUUUAUUUGUAGGUAUUUUGAAAAUGGUGAUGUCAAUUCAAAUAUGCACAGAAAUAUUUGAGUUGGGAGAACUAUAUUGUAAUUAAGCAGCAAUUCUAUACAGUAUAUGCUUUCACCUCUGUGUGCAUGUCAAGUCUAGAUCUCAGUUUGUCUUGAACCUUUGCCAAUAAGGUCAAUGUAUAAAAGCAGAAUCUGGAUUUGAAAAUGAUCCAAAUAUUUUUCCCAGUGCUGCAUCUUUAGAGCACCAGUGGGUUUAAUCAUAAGAACAUAAGAAGAGCCUGCUGGAUCAGGCCAGUGGCCCAUCUAGUCUAGCAUCCUGUUCUCACAGUGGCCAACCAGGUGCCCGGGGGAAGCCCACAAGCAGGACCCGAGUGCAAGAACACUCUCCCCUCCUGAGGCUUCCGGCAACUGGUCUUCAGAAGCAUGCUGCCUCUGACUAGGGUGCAGAGCACAGCCAUCAUGGCUAGUAGCCAUUGAUAGCCCUGUCCUCCAUGAAUUUGUCUAAUCUUCUUUUAAAGCCAUCCAAGCUGGUGGCCAUUACUGCGUCUUAAGGAGCAAAUUCCAUAGUUUAACUAUGCGCUGAGUAAAGAAGUACUUCCUUUUGUCUGUCCUGAAUCUUCCAACAUUCAGCUUCUUUGAAUGUCCACGAGUUCUAGUGUUAUGAGAAAGGGAGAAGAACUUUUCUCUAUCCACUUUCUCAAUGCCAUGCAUAAUUUUAAACACUUCUAUCAUGUCUCCUCUGACUCACCUUUUCUCUAAACUAAAAAGCCCCCAAAUCAAUCACUGAGAGUCUUUCAUGGCGAGUGUCCCAACUUACAUUUUCCUAUGUAAUUGAUAUGACUCUUGAAUAAACCGUGGAAAGCACAUAGCAAUGCACUUGUAAUCACAGCCCUUGUAGUACCUGCAAGUACAACAUGUAGUGCAUAUGCUUAGCACCAGACAUUAAUUUGGUCUAAAGACUCUGUUGAUGUAGCCACAUCUUCAUGCUGUCCUUGCAUAUUUGCUGUCCCAUCAAUUGAAUUGCCAGUGCAUUUUCUUUCUUAUGCUACAUCCAGGUCCUGUUUGGCUCCCUCCCACGGCCCUCCAUCCUGGCAGCCAGGAAAAGCGGUGGUGGAAGGAAACAUGUAUUUCAUUUCCUUUUUCUGUGCCCUGCUGGUGCAGCCAGUGUCCUCCCCUCCCAAAGGAUCCUAAAUGGUAGCUGGAUGUGGUGGCCCCUUCUGCUAGUGCCAGCUUUGCUCCCGCCAGCCUCCCAUGAGAUGGAUUGCUCUGCCCGUGGAUGAGGACAGAAGAGAUCAGUUAUUUCCACACAUUUAACAGCAUUGGCUUCCAGAAUUGUCAUUGCCAUCAUCUCCUCCUCAUUUUCUUGGCUCCCCCCUUUUUUUGUUUUUUGGGCAAUGUAUUGUCCAUAUUUGUGACAGCAUGUUCAAGAUUGGUCAGUUUCCACUAUUAGAAAAUGUACAUGGAGAAUACACAAUGAAAGAGAGAGAACAAUUGAUAAAGGAAGGAUAUAGUUUUCAUUGGUUUGCCUAUUUACAAUUGUUAGAAAGAUAUAAAAUGGACAAGAAAAUGUAUGGGUUUGAAAUAAGUAAAUCUGAUUUUGAAAUAGGUUUGUAUACAAAUGAUGAAAACAUAAUUGCAAAAAUGUAUAAACUUUUAUUGAAAAUGGAUAUGGAGGAAGAACAAGUAAAAGAGUGCAUGGUAAAGUGGGCAAAAAUUUUUGGUCAUAACAUACAAAUGGAUCAAUGGGAAAAUAUGUGGAAAAAAGGCUUGAAAUUUACAUUAUGUUAUAAUCUUAAAGAAAAUUUUUAUAAAAUGAUGUACCGUUGGUACAUGACUCCAGAAAAGCUGUCAAAAAUGUAUAGUAAUGUCUCUAAUGUUUGUUGGAAAUGUAAACAACAAGAAGGAUCUUUUUAUCAUAUGUGGUGGUCAUGU